UGAAUGUGCAAGGGUUUGGCUCGUGU
rnacentral:piRNA from 1 species